CUGCAUGGGCUAAUCCUGGAGAAAUAUAAUGAACAUGGAUAUCUAAUCCACCGGCUGUAACAAUCAACCCUUCGGCAGAAAUAGCUUCUGUACUUGCCCCAACAACAAAAUCAACGUUAUCCAUAUUGUCAGGAUUUCCGCCUUUACCAAUGGCAAUGAUUUUUCCAUCUCUGAUACCAAUAUCGGCUUUAAUAAUACCGGUAUAGUCGAUGAUUGUGGCAUCGGUAAUAAUCGUAUCUGCCACUAAAGGAUUAUCACGACGGGUUUCAGUUGCGCUGACACCCAUGCCA
rnacentral:sRNA from 1 species